rnacentral:misc_RNA from 1 species
GAUGAAGAACGUAGCGAAAUGCGAUAAGUAGUGUGAAUUGCAGAAUUCAGUGAAUCAUCGAAUCUUCGAACGCACAUUGCGCCCCUCGGUAUUCCGUGGGGCAUGCCUGUUCGAGCGUCAUUUAACCCCUCAAGCCUAGCUUGGUAUUGGGUGCUUGUCCCGCCUCUCGCGCGGCGACUCACCUCAAAGUCAUUGGCAGCCCGCAUCUCGCCGGCCGUGAGCGCAGCACAGACGCGCUCUUGGCAACGACGGAUCGGCUCUCCAAAAGCUUAUUUCAACCACUGACCUCGGAUCAGGUAGGGAUACCCGCUGAACUUAAGCAUAUCAAUAAGCGGAGGA